rnacentral:rRNA from 1 species
UACGUAGGGGGCAAGCGUUAUCCGGAAUUACUGGGUGUAAAGGGAGCGUAGGCGGGAUGGCAAGUUGGGUGUUAAAUCUACCGGCUCAACUGGUAGUCGCACUCAAAACUGCUAUUCUUGAGUGAAGUAGAGGCAGGCGGAAUUCCUAGUGUAGCGGUGAAAUGCGUAGAUAUUAGGAGGAACACCAGUGGCGAAGGCGGCCUGCUGGGCUUUUACUGACGCUGAGGCUCGAAAGUGUGGGGAGCAAACAGG